UUUGAAGUACUAUUUAAAGCACGCGUAGGAGUGUUUUAUCACAUAUAAAACGCGAGGCGUAGCCGAGCGUUUUAUAUGUGAUAAAACACGACUACAAGUGCUUUAAAUGGCUUAAAAAACUACUCAUCUUAUACGAGUUUAUUGGCGAAGUAAUUUUUAAAAUAAACUUUGUCUAAACCGAGAAAAUCAAAGCUAAAGUUUAUGUAAAUUAACAUGAUUUUUUAUCACAUAUAAAACCACGACACGCUUAUGAUUUUUCUUUGUGUUUUGCUCCUGAAUUAUUAAUGAGUUUUUUAAAUUUUAUUAAAACACUCAGUGGUUCCCGUAAUUUUUGAUAAAGCACUCCUGCCAUAGAUAUCUUAUAUACUGUACACUAGAUAGUGUAUCUAAUUAUUCUGCAAUUCAAACAUUGAAGCCGUGAUUGCAGUCUCAGGUCGUUCCCAUGAAAUGAGAAGAUUCGUACGUUUUCUAUUUCUUAAACAGGGAACUUAAACAUUAAGUUAACCCUAUUGCAAAUACGUUUUUAAACUAUUCAAAUGAUGAAAGUUAUUGUUGUUUUUAAGCGUUUAUUAGCAAGUGGGAACGACCAACAUGGCCGCCAUCUAUUCAUGGCCAGAAAUUCAGGACAUGCGCCCGCAAUAUAUCUCAGCGGUUUUUCCUCUGAAAAGUUAUUCAUACCUAACACACGCAAGUUUUAACUAAAAAAAUACAUUUUGCUUAGUUUUUUGUUUAACUAAAGCAGGAAAAUAGAUUUUAUAGGUACUGUCGGCCUUUUACAUACCUUUCAUUUAUUAUGAUGGGAUAUAAAGUGAUGCGCAUGGUAAACGACUCAAAUAUUUUGUGUAUACAUCGCUAUCCCUCUGUGUAACCCGCACUGGAAGAAAGCCUGGUUCCUAAGCUUCUUGUUGAUAUCAAACAUGGACGACAAUUCAUUAAACAUCGUUCUUCUUGCAAUGUUUUACGGUCUAUGGACAGGGUAUUUAUGGGUAAAAUAUCAACAUUUUGUCCCGUAAAUUGGAACAAGUUAAAAAAUUCGUAUCACUAUGAAAUUAUGUAGACAAGCAGGGGACAACAUAUAUUUUUCG